AAUAGACAUUAUAGAAUGGCAGUGUUAUAAACUAGACCACACUACCCUUAAUUGGGAAGUUUUCGCCUUCUUUUAACUUUUGUAUCUCACCCUUACUGUACCACAUAUUUAGGGAAAGGUGCCUAAGUAACGAUCUGUUAUUAGUUAAGUUUAGCGUUUAAUGGGGAAGCUGUGUAAAUUCGCGUCGGGAGUUUAAUUUAUCUCAAAUUGUAAUGAUUUAUAUGACAACGGAUAUAUGCAUAAUAAUGAAGUUGUAAAUAAUUUUGUAUGAAAGAAAUUACAUUAUUAUCAUUAUUUA